UACGGAAGGCAGCAGUGGGGAAUAUUGCACAAUGGGCGCAAGCCUGAUGCAGCCAUGCCGCGUGUAUGAAGAAGGCCUUCGGGUUGUAAAGUACUUUCAGUCGUGAGGAAGGUGUUAAGGUUAAUAACCUUAGCAAUUGACGUUAGCGACAGAAGAAGCACCGGCUAACUCCGUGCCAGCAGCCGCGGUAAUACGGAGGGUGCGAGCGUUAAUCGGAAUUACUGGGCGUAAAGGGCACGCAGGCGGUUAAUUAAGUUGGAUGUGAAAUCCCCGGGCUUAACCUGGGAAUGGCAUUCAAGACUGGUUAGCUAGAGUCUUGUAGAGGGGGUAGAAUUCCAUGUGUAGCGGUGAAAUGUGUAGAGAUGUGGAGGAAUACCGGUGGCGAAGGCGGCCCCUGGGACAAAGGACUGACGCUCAUGUGCGAAAGCGUGGGGAGCGAAACAGGGAUUAGAUACC
rnacentral:rRNA from 1 species